rnacentral:rRNA from 1 species
UUGCUGGGCGGAUUAGUGGCGCAACGGGUGAGUAAUACGUGAGUAACCUGCCCUUGACUCUGGGAUAAGCCUGGGAAACUGGGUCUAAUACUGGAUACUACCGUCCACCGCAUGGUGGGUGGUGGAAAGGGUUUUACUGGUUUUGGAUGGGCUCACGGCCUAUCAGCUUGUUGGUGGGGUAAUGGCUCACCAAGGCGACGACGGGUAGCCGGCCUGAGAGGGUGACCGGCCACACUGGGACUGAGACACGGCCCAGACUCCUACGGGAGGCAGCAGUGGGGAAUAUUGCACAAUGGGCGGAAGCCUGAUGCAGCGACGCCGCGUGAGGGAUGACGGCCUUCGGGUUGUAAACCUCUUUCAGUAGGGAAGAAGCGAGAGUGACGGUACCUGCAGAAGAAGCGCCGGCUAACUACGUGCCAGCAGCCGCGGUAAUACGUAGGGCGCAAGCGUUGUCCGGAAUUAUUGGGCGUAAAGAGCUCGUAGGCGGUUUGUCGCGUCUGCUGUGAAAGCCCGGGGCUCAACCCCGGGUCUGCAGUGGGUACGGGCAGACUAGAGUGCAGUAGGGGAGACUGGAAUUCCUGGUGUAGCGGUGAAAUGCGCAGAUAUCAGGAGGAACACCGAUGGCGAAGGCAGGUCUCUGGGCUGUUACUGACGCUGAGGAGCGAAAGCAUGGGGAGCGAACAGGAUUAAAUACCCUGGUAGUCCAUGCCGUAAACGUUGGGCACUA